AUUGAACGCUGGCGGCAUGCCUUACACAUGCAAGUCGAACGGCAGCACGGGAGCAAUCCUGGUGGCGAGUGGCGAACGGGUGAGUAAUAUAUCGGAACGUGCCCAGUCGUGGGGAUAACGUAGCGAAAGCUACGCUAAUACCGCAUACGAUCUAUGGAUGAAAGCGGGGGAUCGCAAGACCUCGCGCGAUUGGAGCGGCCGAUAUCAGAUUAGGUAGUUGGUGAGGUAAAGGCUCACCAAGCCGACGAUCUGUAGCUGGUCUGAGAGGACGACCAGCCACACUGGGACUGAGACACGGCCCAGACUCCUACGGGAGGCAGCAGUGGGGAAUUUUGGGACAAUGGGCGCAAGCCCUGACUCCAGACAAUCGCCGCGUGCGAGGA
rnacentral:rRNA from 1 species